rnacentral:rRNA from 1 species
UACGUAGGGUGCAAGCGUUGUCCGGAAUUAUUGGGCGUAAAGAGCUCGUAGGCGGUCUGUCGCGUCGGCUGUGAAAACCCGGAGCUCAACUCCGGGCCUGCAGUCGAUACGGGCAAACUGGAGUGUUGCAGGGGAGACUGGAAUUCCUGGUGUAGCGGUGAAAUGCGCAGAUAUCUGGAGGAACACCGGUGGCGAAGGCGGCAUCCUGAGACCAAUACUGACGCUGAGGCGCGAAAGCGUGGGGAGCGAACCGG